AUGUGCAUUCCUACAACAUAGAAUUAAUGCAUCGGAUUCCAUUAUAACUCCACAGUUAAGUGUGCUCGGUCUAGAGUAGUACUGGGAUGGGUGAUCACUCAGGAAGUACUAGUAUUUUACAUG
rfam:Picea glauca, whole genome shotgun sequence.